GUUCAUGUGAUGCUGAAAAAAAAGUUGUGGGAUGACAGAAGAGAGGAAACGAAAGCAGCGAGUGUGAAAGCUCCUGUCUUGUUGUGUUUCUUGUUGACAAGAAGACUGCGGUGCUGAUGAUAGAUGACACAUUCGGGGUCAAAGGUCACGGUGACUGACAGCUCAGGCCAGACAUGUGCACAGCUUCCGGCCUGACAGCGGUGACAGACAGGCGGAGAGACGACCGGCGGUGCAACAAUGCUGAGUUCUGCCCGUCACUGCAACACCGGCCUACUCCUGUAUUAACAUUAAUUUGUUUGUGAUUUUUUUAAUGUUUCUUUUUAAUGUUUUCAUCAAAUGUCUCAGCCUCUGCCACGGGGGGUUUUAUGAGCUCAGGCUUCCUUACAUUUGUUCCAGUAGAGACACGCCAGCAAAAUAAAAUGCAUGUUGUUACAAUAAAUGGUUAAAUCUUGA